rnacentral:lncRNA from 1 species
AGGCGGAGUGGCGGUCAAAGCGAGGACCCAAGAUGUGCUCCAGGGAGAUACCACGAUGGCAGACACGUUGAGUGAAGAAGUGACGGAUGCGCAUCUCGGGGAGGAGGCGGAUAAAGAGUGCCCUCUGGGGACAGGGGUGAUGAAGGACGGGGACGCAGAGCGCGCCGGGAGCUUGCGAGCAGCAGUUGUGGCUGAGGAAGGUCUCGGAGCAGGAGGAGUGGCAGAAACGGUCGCAGAGAGGGAGGCGCUGGCAGAUUCCACGACAGCCGAGGGCAAAACAGAAGCAAGUACAGCCUCCUUUUCAGAUGUUGCUGGGGAAGAAACUUGGCACAAAGUGGACAGCAGGGCAGAGCCCGGGAGAGAGAGUCGGCAGGACAUGGAAACACACCCUGCAAAGCCCGAUUGUCCAGGAACCCAAGAGAAGCAAAGAGAAAGUGAGAACCCAGAUGUUUCCCUGAACGACAACAGGAAGGCCUAAGAGACCUUGGCUGAUGGAUAUUUUCAAGAUGUCUUCUGGAAGACUUAAAGAGCAGAGAAGGAUUCACCUGAGCAUGAGCAUCUCUCCUGGACUUUAGAUUUUAAUCUUAGGGAAAAAAAAACCCCUGUGCUUGUCUAGGCCGUUUCCCAAUCUGCCAGUGCUGGUCUGCAGCACAGUGAGCCCCUUGAGAAGAUUUGUGCAGACCCUCAUUGGGGCACAGGCUCCUAAGGAAGCACUGCGAGGCUGCUACGUAUUCAGCAUAGUUAACAUGUCUGUGUUCAAAUCAAAUUGAUAGUUUUCAAAUGUUUGACUUUUACCAAAGAGUACCUGAAAGGCUCAGUCCUGACAUCUAGGGUUUGUUUAAAUUCCUUUUUAUUUAUAAUCAUAUAUUAGUCCCAGUUUCAUUCAUGAGAGUUUUAUUUAAAAAUCUGUAGUUUUGUCUGUGAAAAGUCCUUCUACAUACUAAAGAUUGCUCCAGACCUGUGAGUCUUUCCAGAAAAGGAUUCCAUGGCAUGUCUACUCACUUACAGUUAGAAAUAGUCAUUCUUUCUGUCUGUGCCAGAUGACUAAUUCUAAGUGUUAAUCUUUUGUCUUUGUGUGUUUCCAUAGUCUUGCCUUCUGAGGUAGACUGGUAAAUGUUUGUGGCACUUCACCCCUGGGCACCUUAUUUAUGCGGCCACUCAAACUUAAAUCAACAUAGUCAAUAAUUCAGCUGAGUAAAAUGAGUAACAGUCAUUAUAGCAGGUAAACAUUGCACAUCAGCCCAGAUGCCAACAUUCUAGACUCUAGGCUCUUUGGCUGAUGUCAUUCAAUGGAAAAGAAACUUGGAUUAAGUUAGCAUGCUACUCACCUUCCCGAGUUCUGUUAUUUCAAACCUGUAAAUUAACCUUGCAUUGCGUUGCAAAACAACAGUCACAAUCAUUUUCCAAAUCACCCCCUCCCCCGUAUCACCAGGAGUAGUUGUGCAUCAGUGCGCCUGUGGGAUUUUGAUUUCCUUGUGACAUCAUUGUUCCUAUACCAGUACCCGAAGGGCACGUCUAUUUGGCCAUCUUUUCUUCACGUGAGGAAGUGAAAGAAGAUAUUCUAAAGCAGUGAUUCUCCAGUCACACUACACAUUAGCCUUUCAUGGGGCACUUUAAUGAUUGAUUCAACCCCUGGCCCCACCCCAGGAAUUUGGAUCUGAUUAGUUUUAGAUGGGUGUAAGCCAUCAGUUUUUGUUUUGUUUUGUUUUUUCAUUCUUCAGUUGAUUCUACUGUGCAGCCAAAAUUGAGAACCGCUGCCCUGAUCAUUAAUACCAUCCAUGCUGGCUGCCGUAUGUCCCUAGGGACUCUGUAUUAGCUAUAUAGGCCUGUUUCAUUUUAAUAAAUAAAGGAGUCAUUCAACGAUUGAAGCUAUAAUGGACCAGUGGUUCUCAAAAUGUGGUCCCUUGAUUAGAAUAUCAGCAUCAUCUAGCACUUGUCCAAAUACAAAUUCCUGCCCUCAUCCCGUACCUAUUAAAUUAGAAACCCUGUGCGUGGGGCCUAGCAAUUGGUGAUUUAACAAGCCCUCUGGGUAAUGCUGAUGUACACUAUGGUCUGAAAACUGCUGUCACGGACUAUUGAUUAUUUUGAGGAUUAGUCUCAGCAGAAAAUGGAUUGCAGAAGUGUACACUUUCUGUCUCUCUCCAUCCGUCUCUUUGUCUCUCUUUUUCAUUUUUCUCUGAGAGGUGGUACUCACUAUAAAAGUGAUGACCUCAACUUUAAACUCAUUUUCAUCGUGACAGUAAUGACGUAUGUAUGAAUUCCUUCAGCCCCAACCCCUGCUGAGGACGAGCAUCACUCACGGCACAUCACAGAGCUCUGUUAUCUGUCUUCUGUUUUAUGAGUGGAUUUCAUCUACAUUAGAUCCAACUUCAUUUAUUACUGAGCUGCAUUAAUGGAGUUCUACAGUAUUUUUUCGCUGAUCUCAACCUCAUUGCUACAAUGCACUUUGAAUACAUAGCACCUUACGGGAAAGAUUGUAAACUUAUUAAUUCUAUUGAAGAAUGAGUUUUGUACAAUGUGUUAAAUGGAAAUUGCAUUGGAUUAUUCUUAUAUUUAACAUAUUCUAUCAAAACAUUCUGUAAAAUAAUUCUACAAUCUGCAUGCGAGUUUAUGUGAAAUUCAGUGUUGUGAUAUUUUCGUGAAGUGAAUUCUUUCUCUGCAAAUACUAUGUUGAUGAAACUAUUUGUAUGUUCAGCUGAACUGGUUUUUUCCCCCUAGUUUCAUUAUUAAAAGCAUAAGUAGACCAUAUGCUUAAAGAUAAGACAUGAACGGUCCUUCAUAAGUAAGAUUGGACUUUUAAAAUCUUUUUUGUCCUUUCCUUACAAAAGCUAAACUCCAUAGAGUAGAGCAGAGAGAAUUAUUUUCAUUGGGCUGUAUUUUUUAGUAUAUGUGUUUAUAUUGACUGUUUGCAUUCAUCUAGGUCUUUCAUAUACAUGGAAUAAUAUCAGAGGGGAAAACUGUUAUCACCAUUUCUUAGAUAAGUAAAUAGAAGCUCAGUUAAGUAGCUUGUCUAAAAUCAUGGGCAAUCUCAGAUCUCACUCCAAACUCUGACUUUUUUUUUUAAUCACAUACACUUUCUUCCAGGAAGAGGAAUAUUAAGUAGAUAAAUAGAUACUAAGAUACUUUAUGUGAAUCUCUAUGUAUUUUUGUUUACUUGUAGAAGGUAAAAUCAAAUCUCAUUAUUAUACUCUGUAUUAAGAAGAGGGGUAUAUUUCCAGCCAGUGUCAAAGAAUACGGUAGAUUAUUUAAAUAAUUCAAGAGACAAAUAGACAACCAAAUUACAGAUAGGCAGAGUUAGGUUACUUGAAUUCCUUGAGUUAAACCUUAUCUAUGACUUUGUAAGUUUUGGUGUUGUAGAUUACAAUUAUACUUGAGUUCCUUAAAACACCUAAGAUCAAUAAUUUGGCCACAAUUAUUGCCAUUGGAAAUGAUUAUUUGAGAAAAGAAAAGAAAGCUGUAAAAAAGGUUCAUCUAGCAUGUGAAAUAUUCCACCGGCUUCAGGGACAGCCCAGGCGAGGACACUUCUGACCUUGGGUAAUAUUUUCUUUUGGUCUUCUUACCACCUGAUUUUAUCAUUUGAAAGGUGUUCCCAGAUACCAUGGCCAGCAGCAAGAGGUACAAGAGAACAGGGAAUAAAUACAGUUGAAAUUCUUUAAAAGUUCCCCUCAAACUCACCCUUUUUUUUUUUAUUGUGUUUUUUACUUCCUUCUAAUCUCAUGCCCUGUAAAAAACCAUGCUUUUCAAAGUAACAGAAAACACAAACUCUAUGAUAACAUGCUGCAUGUUUGAGAAUGCACAUUCCCUUUGAAAUUCCUAUCAGAAGUCUCAGGCUGUUUAAUAAUCUGUGCAACACAUGCCAUAUUUUGGAACGAUGAGAAUCCCCAUUUUUUAAUCAGGGAAAAUGAGGUACACAGAGGUUCCUGAGACAGAUACAUGGGUACCAAAUUCUAUAGAAGACCUUUGUCAAAUGUUUCUUAGUCUUAUUAACUAUCCGAUUAUAAUUAAAGGCCAAAUGAUGGAAACAUUUAUAAGAGAAAUCUCGAGGUUGUUCAGGAGCUUGGUACUAAUGUGAUACAGAGACCCUCAAGCUUGUGUAGGUCGUACCCCUGAGGGGAGAUGAAGUUUUUCAAGAGAUUCACUGGCAAGGCUACUUCGCAGAUGUCAACCUCAAUGCAUGUUUUGUCAUAAAAUAGACUUGUGUGAGAGUUAGCCUGCAGUCAAGAUCUUUCCUUUUGCCAAUUCCCCACUUUCUCUUCAUAAUAGAGGCCAACUUUUCAUCCAUUUAAUAGUUUUACUGUGUUGUCUCAGGGAUGUCACAAGCAACAAAGAAACCAUUUGAAAUAUAGUGUAGGUAUUGAGAAAAGGGAAUGACCUUAAAUGACUGGUUAAUAAAUCCUUCUGCAAGUCAAGUGGUUUUCAAUUCUUUGUUUUCCAAAAAAAAAAAACAGAUGAGGACCUAAUUGACUUGUCAACUGAUAAGCCACUUAAAUCGUUUUUGGUAUUUUAUCAGUUUGUGACUUUUGGUAAAUCGCUGAGAGUUCAAAGUAGAGCAUUGCUGCCCAGCAGAACCAAACUACUUCCAUUCCCAUCUGCUUAUUUAUGAGAAAUGCACAAGUGUGGUGCUUGUACAUCCGCACAAAUGAAACAGAAAAGGGACUAGCACUGAUGUUGGACACUCUCAUUCUAGCAGGAAAUAAUAUUUGCUCACAGAUACACAAACUAAUUAAAAAUGGUCAUCACUGUCUGAAAGAUGUGUUUCUACUUUUCAUGUGUAAGGUGUAUCAAAAUUUGUAAUCCAUGUAUGUUGCUGUGAUCAAAUGUAGAUUCCUAAUUAUUGCACGGGUAGCUCAAUCCGGAAGAAAUUCGCCAUAUAGAACCUCAUAGUCAGAAG